rnacentral:tRNA from 1 species
AGAAAGUUAGUCUAGAUAAGACAGUUGAUUUCGACUCAACAAACCAUAGCCCAACCUAUGACUUUCUU